UUGUUUAGCACAUUCAAAUUAUGAAACAAACAUAGAUCAUAAGUACAUAAAUUGAUGAAACAAAUAUACGCACAAAUUUUCCAUCAUACAACACAGUUUCUCAUUACAUGAUCAAAUGAAACGAAACAUUUCUAAUGCAUCAAGAAAAUAACUAAAAUAAAAUUACAUAGAUAGCCAACACAUUGAUAGAUAGUACGAAAUAAGCCAGAUAGCAUCACAUGCAACUAGUUCGAAGUCCGAGCUCCAAUUGUUCCAAUUAUCUCCGGCUCUAACUCAUCUUCACCAAGUCGAUUGUACUCAAACACAGUCUCCGCAAACUUUUGAAGCACAUCUUCCCAAACAAAAACUUCACAACCAAGGUGCUAAAAUGUAAAAAACAAUUUUUAGAACAUGUCGCAAUCUAGCAAAUAAUACAUAUUGUUAUGAAAGGUAAUAUAAAUGAACUUACCCGUUUCCACCAUAGCUUUUCGUUCAAGCCGUCACUAUUUUCAACCCAUCCGUUCCCGCACCUGUAGAACAUUCGACCAUUGUGUUCUCCACCUAAACACUUCCUAG
rnacentral:lncRNA from 1 species